AUGUUUUGUGGGCAUGCCAAUGCAAUUUCUAUCAAGAGAUAUAGAUUAAUUGUUGAGCUAUUUGAUGGGACAGAUAGAAUUGAAGCAACAAUGUUUAAUCGUCAUGUGGAUAAGUUAUUUUCUUUAACCGAAACAGAGAAUG